AUGAACGCUGGCGGCGUGCCUAAUACAUGCAAGUCGAGCGAACAGACGAGGAGCUUGCUCCUCUGACGUUAGCGGCGGACGGGUGAGUAACACGUGGAUAACCUACCUAUAAGACUGGGAUAACUUCGGGAAACCGGAGCUAAUACCGGAUAAUAUAUUGAACCGCAUGGUUCAGUAGUGAAAGACGGUUUUGCUGUCACUUAUAGAUGGAUCCGCGCCGCAUUAGCUAGUUGGUAAGGUAACGGCUUACCAAGGCGACGAUGCGUAGCCGACCUGAGAGGGUGAUCGGCCACACUGGAACUGAGACACGGUCCAGACUCCUACGGGAGGCAGCAGUAGGGAAUCUUCCGCAAUGGGCGAAAGCCUGACGGAGCAACGCCGCGUGAGUGAUGAAGGUCUUCGGAUCGUAAAACUCUGUUAUUAGGGAAGAACAAAUGUGUAAGUAACUAUGCACGUCUUGACGGUACCUAAUCAGAAAGCCACGGCUAGCUACGUG
rnacentral:rRNA from 1 species